GUUAAGGUGGCAGAGCCAAGUAAUGCAAAAGACCUAAAAUCUUUAAACAGGAAAGCAAAGUUCCUUCUUAAUA
rnacentral:tRNA from 1 species